AUAGAGUGAGUAUAGAGUGGACCAAUGGAAGGAAUCUGAACAAAGGAAUACCCCCAACAGUGAUGUUCAAGACCCCACCGAAGAAAUUGCUGAUGGGGCACACCUCCCUAGACGCAGCUGGUGUGCCCUUAAUAGGGCAAGAUCAGGAGUAUGUAGGACAGGUGAUAAUAUGGUCAGAUGGGGCCUGGGGACGGAUCAGUCAUGUGAGUGUGGCGAGGGCGCCCAGACCAUUGAGCAUAUCCUCCGAGCGUGCCCCUUAUCAUGCAGCCUGAACAACGCUGAUUUGCUGAAUGUGAAUCAGAACACCCUAGAAUGGUUGGCUGUUUGGUGUGACAAGCUAUGAUGAUGACUGAAAGACAAAAGCAUGCAUUUUCUUGAACGACUCGUAACAUGACUACGGCGCUGUUGUAGACUCUACUUACGAGCCGACAGCGUCCACUUGAGUGCCGAAGCCAUGGAGAGAUGCUCGUGAAUGACGAUUCGGCACAAACCUGGAGUUCAUCUAAAGAGGUUUGAUGACGUUGACACUGUCGGGAGCUUUAUUUGACUUGCAUCUAAAAGCCAGUUGUCCAUUUGGAGACACGCGACUCUUGCGCCCGCGGGGUGUUUCCCCUCAACAGUCACUUUGGAGUUUGGGGCAAAAUUGGCCGUCCUCUACACAGUUCUACAAGAGAAGCGGGGAAGAAAGAUCCAUUCAAACAUCACUGAUGACUGUUGAUUGAAGCUGACAGCGAUAAAAACCAAACAAAGCAAGACAGCGCUGCAGCCCGUCAAUGUCCACCCUGCAGCAGUAUGGCCCGCUGUCGCUCCGCCUCACAUCAGCGAUGUCCAAGUCCAUUUGUCCUUCCAGGAUGUCUCCCGUCAGCCGGUAGCGCUCAUCCGCCUGCGGCGGGGUCACAAGCGCUUUGACGAUACCGCCGGGCUCCAUGUAAAAGUGCCUCAGGCCUUCACC